AUAUACCCACACACCCACUUGUCAAAAGAAAUGCACGAUCAUUGUCUAUAUAAACAUACUUGUAAAGAGUAUAUUGUAUAGAAAAGAUGGAAACAGCAAAGAUAUCUUCUGUUACGAUGGCAUUCUUGUUGGCUUUUUUAAUCAUUGCUUCAGAUAUGUGUAUGGAAUCACAAGCCAGAAGAGAAUACUGUAACAAAGAUAGUGAUUGUCACAAAGAAAAAAUACCAGAAUGUCACAUGUAUAUUGCAUGUGUUGCACAUGAGUGUCAAUGUGUUCAUCUUCAACCAGCCUUCACUGAAGAAAUUCCUAUUCGAGCACCCUCGAUCAAACACUGAGUAAUGAGAUAACAUUGUGAAAUAAUAAUUGUGUUUGGUUGAGAUUAUUAAUAAUGUAUAAAAUAAUUAUAAAUGUUUGUUGUUGCAACAUAUUUUGUGUUCCAAUAUUAUGAAAUGAAAUAAAAUAGGUUCGGUUGGCUAUUUUAGUUUC